rnacentral:rRNA from 1 species
UACGUAGGGUGCAAGCGUUAAUCGGAAUUACUGGGCGUAAAGCGUGCGCAGGCGGUUCCGCAAGUCAGAUGUGAAAUCCCCGGGCUCAACCUGGGAACUGCAUUUGAAACUACGGGGCUAGAGUGUGUCAGAGGGGGGUGGGAAUUCCACGUGUAGCAGUGAAAUGCGUAGAGAUGUGGAGGAACACCAAUGGCGAAGGCAGCCCCCCUGGGAUGACACUGACGCUCAUGCACGAAAGCGUGGGGAGCAAACAGG